UACGGGGGGGGUAAGCGUUGUUCGGAAUUACUGGGCGUAAAGGGCUCGUAGGCGGCCAACUAAGUCAGACGUGAAAUCCCUCAGCUUAACUGGGGAACUGCGUCUGAUACUGGAUGGCUUGGAUUCGGGAGAGGAAUGCGGAAUUCCAGGUGUAGCGGUGAAAUGCGUAGAUAUCGGGAGGAACGCCUGUGGCGAAGGCGGCCGCCUGGUUGGAUACUGACGCUGAGACGCGAAAGCGUGGGGAGCAAACAGG
rnacentral:rRNA from 1 species